AGAGUUUGAUCAUGGCUCAGGAUGAACGCUAGCGGCAGGCCUAAUACAUGCAAGUCGAGGGGUAGAGAGGAGCUUGCUCUUCUUGAGACCGGCGCACGGGUGCGUAACGCGUAUGCAACCUACCUUUAUCAGGGGGAUAGCCUCUCGAAAGAGAGAUUAACACCGCAUAACAUUAGUGAAUGGCAUCAUUUACUAAUCAAAUAUUUAUAGGAUAAAGAUGGGCAUGCGUGUCAUUAGCUAGUUGGUGAGGUAACGGCUCACCAAGGCGACGAUGACUAGGGGAUCUGAGAGGAUGACCCCCCACACUGGUACUGAGACACGGACCAGACUCCUACGGGAGGCAGCAGUAAGGAAUAUUGGUCAAUGGAGGCAACUCUGAACCAGCCAUGCCGCGUGCAGGAAGACGGCCCUAUGGGUUGUAAACUGCUUUUACCUGUGGAUAAAAGGCCCAUGCGUGGGACAUUGAAGGUAGCAGGUGAAUAAGCCACGGCUAACUACGUGCCAGCCGCCGCGGUAAUAC
rnacentral:rRNA from 1 species